rnacentral:lncRNA from 1 species
UCUCACCCAGAUGUUGCCAUGAUGAUGGCCGUGGAGGAUGGCAUGGUGCAGGUAGUGGUUCAGGUGCAGCACCUCCCCCCUCGAGAGUUGGAAGUCAAAAGCAGCCUGUGGUUCAGGUGAUGGAUGAGAAGGUGUUUUUGUUUAACACUGAGGAGACCCAUGGAGGGUUUCCUGGCCUGAAAUUGGGCAGCGUUUAUGAUGGCUCUAAGAAGAACAAAGACCUGACAUUGUCUUUGCUUGGAUUUUUGAUGAGGUGGCCACAUAUCAGGAUGUGUUCAGCACACAACAUACAGCAUUUGUUUGCCUAUGGGGUCACUGGGCCUGAGAAGACACUCACCAUGCUGAAAAGAGAGGAGACCUCCAGCAUCAUGGACCUGACCAUCAGGUACCUCUACAGGCACUUUGAGGACCACCAGGAGGAGAAGCACUUUGAGGUGAUCAUCACCUGUCAGGAGCUCAGAUGCUGACCAGGGGGACCCAUAACUGCAUGCGGCAUUCCACUGAUGCCAGUGCAACUCCCUCCCACUCCCAUGCCAUCUUCCAGAACCAGCAGAACUGGGAUCCAGAACUAACCCAGGAUGUUCAGGUGAUGAAGAUAAGCCUGAUUGGCCUGGCUGAUGCUGAGGUGACAUCCAGUACCCAGGAGAACAGGGAUCAGCUUCGGGAGGGUGCCAACAUCAAUCACUCUCUGCUGGCGCUCAUCAACAUCCUCAAUGCCCUGGGCCACAAGACCCAUGUGCCCUGCAAGGACAGCAAACUGGCCUGCCUUCUCAGACUCCCUCAGGGGUAACUGCCACAUGGUGAUGAUUGUUGCCAUCAGCACCUCCAGCCUGGCCUACAAGAACACAUAAAACACCCUCACAUAUGCUGACUGGGCCAAGGGGAUUGGGUUCCCCAGUGUCUGAAGAACAAUUUAAUCAGCCAGAACUGUCACUUCAGCUGGUAUACCACGAUCUGCCAACAAAUCCAGGCUGGGUGAGGCACCAGCCUGGGGAACAGGCUUGGGGACAAAGAGCAAGAAGCAGAAGCUUGGGAGUAUCACUGGGCCUCUGUACACAUCCCUCACCUCCUGGGCUCAGCUGGGGUUCUGAGGGGCCGGGCUUCUUCUGCUACAGGUGGCUAUUGUGAGGAAGAAGCUUGAGGUGUAUGAGGAGGGAGCCUGGCCCCCACAACAGAACCUUCCAUAAUCCCCAUAGGGACACCACAAAACAGUGAAAUUCACUGCCCACUCUGCCUCUACCCUGCAGCUUGGCCAGGACAGGAACCAGUUCCCCUCCUCCAGAUCCUGGAGGUCAGUGACUCCUUGCUUCUGUUCCAAUACCUAGGGUUAAGGAUUCCCAUCCAGUGCCCAGCAACUGAUUGUCACUUAGAAUGCUCUGUGUCAAAUGAGUAAAUGGCAUUGAAGCCCAUAUGAACAGGACCUAUUAUUCAAGAGAUGGUGAACUUAGGGUUUGUGUUAUUGUUUCUCAAACCAGAAAACCCCUGACUCCUUUUUCCACACUCAGCUACCACCCAAGUGUCCUCUCCUUACAGACUCUGAACUUCCUUGAUGCUACAGAGAUUUCACUGACUCCCUGCUCUCCCACCUGCCCCACACCCUGCUUCUCACAUCCUUAUUUCCCCCUUAGAUUUUCUACUCCCUUUCCCACUGUACCCUCCCACUCAGCCCUGCACCCAAGAGCUCCCUGCAGGACCUCAAACCCUUCAAGAGAAGAACCUGGGACAGAAGCCCAAGUGAAGAGUGUCAUGGAAUAGUGCUGUGCUUGGCCCAUAAACAAUAUUUCCUGCUCCAAGAAGCUAACCUCCUGACCUAUAUGAUCACAGAAUUUGAGACCAUGCAGCAGCUAGUGCAGGAGGAAAAAAUUCAGCCUGGGUCAGAGGCCUGCAGAACUUCUGGCCUGGCCAGGGCAGCAACUUUGGAUCAGGACCUGUGUUCAGAGUCAAGUGAGUCUCACUCCUUCUCUGCCCUGCCUAUGGGUGCUGUCUCCAAGGCCCAGCUGGGGCUGAGAGAUGUCCAGGGGGUCUCAGUUGUGGGGUUAUGCUACAGUAGAAGUCUGGAACCCUAGGAUCAUGGGUUUUGUACACAGACAGGCCCCAGGAGACCUGAAAAGUUAGGGGCAACUUGAUGUCUCCAGCAUCUGGCUCUCCAAGUUUUACAAAUACUCCUUCCUCUGGCCAGUCCCUGAUCUUUCCUCAGCACCCUCCUUCUCUCUGCCCAGAGUCUCCAGGAUUCUCUGGCCAUGUGACCUGAACCAUGGCAGGGUGAUUGAGUGGUUCCAUACAAACUCUGAGGAUCCCACCUGGGCCUGACUGCACCAUGGCCAAGAUAUCUCAAUGUCCCAUGAAGACGAAGAGGAGGAGAUCAUGCCUCUUUGAGCCAGGGAGUUAUCUGGCCCCAAAGUGGGUCACCAAAUGCUAAUACCAGUCUCUCCUGCCCUGCCUGAGGAGAGGGGCUCUGCCUGAGACCCAGGCUUCAUUUGGGCCCAGCACCCCUCAGGAGGGAAGAGCCUCCUUCCCCUGCCAUUUUUCUUAUGUCUUCUCAGCCACAGUCAUCAAACUCUAGAUGCCACUGGGCCCUUCCACCAUGAAGAAUGCUCCCCUCUCUGGCCCCACCUACUUGAAAUUUCAAUGUCAUGUUUGAUCUCUCUGAGGAGUGUCUCUCAUAGCUCAGUUUCCAUGAAAGCAUUGGCUGGGACAAAGUUCCCCAGGAGCUGAAAAGGCUGGACCAGCCCUUUGUCCCAAGGUGAGUCUCCUA